CAACCACCACAGUGGUCCAUAUAAAGUUCAUUUCAAACCACACGCAACGCACAGUUUAGCGAAAGGUUUACCUUCCAUACAUGGAAAUGGCCAGGAGCCGAAAUCCAAGCGGCAAUGCUGACAAGUCACCGACGCCAAUUUCACUGCAGAAAACUACCGACGAUGAUGGAUUUUCUAUUUUAACUUUAAUUCCUCACGUACUUUCUUGGGUGGCUUUUUUCGCAUCCAUAUCCUACCUGUAUUGUAAUGAACUAUUAUAAUAAUUUGUACAGCACGGACUACACGAAAAAUUAAAUAGAGCUGAGAACGAUGGUGAUUUCAAUACCGCAAGCGCUGUACUAAUAAAAUAAGAAAAAUAGAAGAUGAACUUACCUUA